rnacentral:rRNA from 1 species
UACGUAGGGGGCAAGCGUUAUCCGGAUUUACUGGGUGUAAAGGGAGCGUAGACGGUUAAUCAAGUCAGAUGUGAAAGCCCGGGGCUUAACCGCGGGACUGCAUUUGAAACUGGAGAACUGGAGUGUCGGAGAGGUAAGCGGAAUUCCUAGUGUAGCGGUGAAAUGCGUAGAUAUUAGGAGGAACACCAGUGGCGAAGGCGGCUUACUGGACGAUGACUGACGUUGAGGCUCGAAAGCGUGGGGAGCAAACAGG